UUUAUAUUUUAUAAAAGUUAUUUAAUUAUUUUAUGUUUUAGUAUUUAGUUUGAAUUAAUUUAAAUUUUUAUAGUUUAAUAGUAUUGUGAAAGAAUUAAAUUAAUUUAUUAAAAGAAUAUUUUAGUACCUUUUGUAUCAGGGUUAAUUAAAAUUUUUAAUUAAAUUUUGAAUUCUCAAAAUUUAUAGAGUUAAUUUUAUUAUUAAGUUAUUGUUUUAUAAAUAUUUAUUAAAUAAUUUUAGUUUUGAAAUUUAAUUCGAUAUAUUAUAUUUAGUUAUUUAAGAUUUAAAUUUAAUUUAAAAUUUUAAUAGUUUUAUUAAUUUUUAUUAGUAAUAUUUUAAAUUUAAAUUAUUUUAGGGAUAAGCUUGAAAUUUUUAUAUAAUUUUUUUUUUAUUAAUAAUUUAUAGGAAUAGAAAUUUUUAUUUAAGUUUGUAAAAAUUUAUUAUUUAAAUUAAAUUUGAUUUAUUAAAAUUUAUUUAUUGGGGGGUAUUAAAUUUUAUAAAAUAAUAAUUUAUUUAUAGUAAUAAUGAUUAAAUUAGUAUAAUAUUUAUUUAUAAAUUAUGAAUUCGGCAAAUAUUAUUUUCAUCUGUUUAUCAAAAACAUAGUAUUAAGUUUUAUUUAAUAUAGUAUCUGCUCAAUGAUUAAAUUUAAAUAGCUGCAGUAUUUUGACUGUGCAAAGGUAGCAUAAUAAUUAGUCUUUUAAUUGAGGACUUGAAUGAAAGAUUUGAUGAGAAAUUAACUUUAUUAUUUAUAUAUUUAGAAUUUUAUUUUUAAGUAAAAAAGCUUAAAUAAUUUAAAGGGCCGAUAAGACCCUAUAAAACUUUAUAAUUAUUAAUUUUUAAUUUUUUUUUGGUUAAUAAAAUAUUUUAAUAUUUAUAACUAUUUCAUUGGGGUGAUGGAAAAAUUUAAAUAACUUUUUUUUAAUAAAAACAUUAUUUAGUGAAUAUUUUGAAUUAAAAUUUUUAAUUAUAGGAUAAAGUUACUUUAGGGAUAACAGCGUAAUUGAUUUUUGAAGUUCAAAUUUGAAAAUUAGUUUGCGACCUCGAUGUUGAAUUAAGAUAAAUCUUGGGUGCAAAAUUUUAAGUUUUAGGUCUGUUCGACCUUUAGAUUCUUACAUGAUUUGAGUUC
rnacentral:rRNA from 1 species